CGUGGGUAACCUGCCCAAGAGAUCGGGAUAACACCUGGAAACAGAUGCUAAUACCGGAUAACAACAGAUGAUGCCUAUCAACUGUUUAAAAGAUGGUUCUGCUAUCACUCUUGGAUGGACCUGCGGUGCAUUAGCUAGUUGGUAGGGUAACGGCCUACCAAGGCGAUGAUACAUAGCCGAGUUGAGAGACUGAUCGGCCACAUUGGGACUGAGACACGGACCAAACUCCUACGGGAGGCAGCAGGC
rnacentral:rRNA from 1 species